rnacentral:lncRNA from 1 species
UAAUAAUAAUAAUAAUAAUAAUGUUAACCACAUCAAUAAUCAAUAAUAAUAAUAAUAAUAAUAAUGUUAACCACAUCACUUAUGCAAUAAUAUUGUUGCACUUAUAUAAAUACUCCAUAUAGUAGAUAAUAUAUAAUCUUAAUUCUUGAACCCGUCCUUUGUAUGCCCCAAUUAAUUUUUGUUGGGUGUCAGGAAAUUUCCAUAGCUGCUUCGAAUAUGAGUUCAACCGAUUUUUUCAUGCAGGAUUUCAGCUUAUGUUCAUUUAUGAAUCCCUUUUGGGUUUUCAAAGUCAUUCUUAAUGUCUUCAAAUAGCUAAUAACUGUAACAGUUAAACCCUACAACACACGAGAGAAAAAAUGUGUCAGAACUCAAAUUAAUAAUGUUAUGAUAUACUGUAACCGUUGAAUAUGUAAAUUGAUUUUGGGUUUGUUAGUUUUGAGCUUUAGGAAAUUUAAGCCCAAAUUUAGUAAUAAGUAGUAAGUCUAAAGAAUGUUCUAGAGAUAUGUAGAAAUAAGUAGAAGUCAUGGUAGAAAAUGUAUGUAGUAGUAGAGAGAAGUUUGUAGAACUCUCUCUUAGAAGUAUGUAGAAGAGUCUCUAGGAGUAUGUAGAACUCUCCCUUGAAGACUAUAAGUAGGGGAGAGGUAGUCAUUUGUAAAAAAGCCAAAAAUUACAAACACUCAAUAAUAUAAGUAGCAUUCCUUUCCAACAAGUUUCAUAUCCUCUCUCAAAUACUUAAACACUUACUCCACUUAUUAAAGCUUCCUUCGACCAUUAUUCGACUCGAUUCACCUAGAGAAGAACAUGGUCGGAGUAACCAAAGACGAGGUGGCGCUCGAGAACGUGGACGUGGUCGUGGAUAUGGAGGCGGACGAGGUUGGAGGCCUAAUGUAUGACAACA